AGUUGACCGAGCCCCGGCAGGGAAGUUGCUGCAGCCGCCCGGGUCAUCGGCCCUCCCGUAUCCCCGGGCCCCAGGCUGUGCGCGGUGUCUGCGGCUGGGACCCGCCCAAGUGACACGUACAGUUGCCCCUAGCAUGACUGCGAUCUGAUCAGCAACCACAGAACCUGACUCCUGUGUCCGGCGCCUUAGUCCUGGGGCCUGGUCACUGCCCAUCACUCCGGACCUGCCAUGGCUGCUGCUUUCACGUCCACGCCUGUCAUUUCACAGCCCCAGGUAUGUGAUUCAGGACCAGCAUAGGUUUGGGCUUGUCAUUGUAUUGUUGAAUAUUUCAGUUGAGUUUCGGAAAGUGUGUUGGAUUCUGGAGGUCAUGUGUCUACAGAAUGAUCAUUUGGUGGGGAUUUGGGUAGGGGAGUUUUUGUGAAGGGGGUGCUUUUGGUUCUCAGUGCCUGGGAUGUCUGGCUGCCCCUGUAGGCCCCAAACUUCCCAUCAAGACAGCCAAUAGUGUAUAUGUGUGAGUGGGUUGCUUUGCUGUACAGCAGAAAUGGACACAAUAUGGUAAAUCAACUAUAAUUAAACAAAAGUACUGUUAAAAAAAUGGAGUCUUUCAUGUAAAAAAAAAAAAAAAAAAAAGACAGCCAGUAGCAAAUCCUGCUAUUUUCCCUCCUUUGGCUUUUUUAGGGCUUAUCUCAGAACAGAUCUAAUCUUCCAGCAAGUUUUCUGAAUAUUGUCUUGAUGUCCUCCUCUUAUAAUGAUGAUUAUUUUCCCUGGAUAUGUUUGAGUAACUUUGAGGAGAAAAAUGCAAUUCUAGAAACUUCUGAGCAGCGGUAACAUGAGUUCCUCUUUCUGUCCAGGGAAGAACAGUAACAUAGCAGGAGCACUGUUCUGUCUGUUUUACAAUCUGACCUCUUCAAGUAUUAACAGACUCUUGAGUUUCAGCAGGCUCCAUGGUACCCUGGGGAAGCAGACUUUGGAGUUCUUAGGGCUGCGUUCACAUCUCAGCUGCUGGCUCAGGGGCCUUAGUCAUGUUUACCUUGCUCGGUUUCCAUUUCUUAGGUCAUCGUACCUCCCAGCCUGGUUAUAGGGAUUGAACGAGGGUCUCUAUGCGAAGCACUCAGUAGGUGUUCAACAAGUAUGGUCUCCCAUUUGCUCUUCCUUUAGCAUCUUCUCUUCCUUAGAGUGUGACCUCCUGUGUCCUUGAUGAGAAUUGUUUUAGGCCAAGUUGGAAGGAAAAAGUACACCUUUGAGAAAAAGCCACAGUUGAAAUUUGAAUCUUUGUGUUGUGAAAUGUUGUUCCAUGCUUUUUUUCCCACUGCAUCAUAAUUUGCGGGAUACUAAAGUGUGUGUGUGUGUGUGUGUGUGUGUGUGUGUAUUGUAUAUAAGUUUUAUGUGGUAUGGGAGCCUUCAUAAGGAAAUGGCUAUCUGAAGUAACAGACCUAUGAUUUUGAUGCUGGUUUUGUUUUUAAAAUUGAAGUAUAGUUGUUUUUCCAAGUUGCGUUAUUAUCAAGGGUACAGCAAAGUGAUUUAGUUAUGCAUAUGUGUAUUUGUGUGUAUAUAUACAUAUAUUCUUUUUCAGAUUCUUUUCCAUUAUAGUCUAUUUGGAGAUACUGAAUAUAGUUCCCUGUGUUCUACAGUAGGUCCUGGUUGUAUGUCUUUCAGGUAGGGGUAUGUAUAUGGGUGUGUGUGUUAAGAAGGGGAGGAAGGGAAAGGAAGGAGAGGGAGAAAGGGGCAUUUCUACUUUUAUUUACUAGAAAUGCUUUUCUUCUCUAAAAGACCUUGGCAUUUAUCAUAUGGAUGCGGUCCUUGCUGCUUCCUAACACUGUAAAGUUUUUAGCCUCAUUUUUCAGGCUGUUUAGUGUUCUCAUCAUCAUAUGUAUUGUUCUUCUCUGGUAAAUGGAUCAUUGCCUUUUCACCACUUCAUUUACUUUGGGUGUUUGGUUUCCAUUCCCCUCAAUAUUGUUCUUGGUGCCCGAGAGACAUGGUGAAGGGGUAAAAAGAUUUAGUGCCGGUUACCUGAGGUCACCAUUUCAAAGUCUGCUGCAAGUCCCCUGCUAAGACUAGUCUUGGCGUUUUAUUGGGGUAAGUUAGGCCCUAAUACAGGUUUUCUGGACAUUUCAGCAGCCCAACCUUACACUCUCAUUGGACGGCAUUUCCAACAGCAUCAUCUUAUCUACACAUCUUCCCUCUUACCCAAGCUACUCUCAGCCGUGAUUAAUAUAAACACUUUUAAAUGACUCAUUUAAUGAAAAUGUUUAGCACCGCCCUAGGUAGAAAGAGGUCAUAUUUAAUAUAAACUCUUGGGGAAAUGUGUACUCUUAUAAGUUCUGUGUGAGAAAGUAAAUUACAGUCAUUCUGGAGAGUAACUUGAAAGUAUCUAUUAAAAUUAAAUAUAGAACUACCAUAUGAUCCAACACUCCCACUCCUGGGCAUAUAUCCAGAGAAAACCACAAUUCAUAAAGAUACAUGUACCCCAGUGUUCAUUGCAGCACCAUUUACAAUAACCAAGACAUGGAAACAGCCUCAGCGUACAUCUACAGAGGAUUGCGUAAAGACAAUGUGGUGCAUAUAUACAAUGGAAUAUUACUCAGGCAUAAAAAAAAUAAUGUCAUUUGCAGCGACAAGAAUGGACCUAAAGAUUUUCAUAUCGAGUGAAGGAAGUCAGACAGACAAAUAUCAUGUGAUAACACUUAUAUGUGGAAUCUAAUAAAAAUGAUACAAAAGAACUUAUUUAAAAAACAGAAACAAACUUACAGAUUUCACAAGCAACCUUAUAGUUGCCAUAGGUGAAACUGUGGUGGAGGGGAGGGAAUAACACAUACACCCUAGUAUAUAAAAUAGGUGGUUAAUGAGAGCCUACUGUAUAACACAGAAAAGUUGCCUCAAUAGUUCGUAAUAACUUCCAUGGGAAAAAAAGAAUGGCUAUGUUUAUAUGUAUGACUGAUUCACUUUGCUAUACACCUGGGACUAAUACAACACUGUAAAUCAGCUCUACACUAAUAAAAUAAAAUUUAAAAAAAUUUGUGUACCUUUGUACAUAAGCUGUUCCCAUCUUGGUACCUAUGUUAGAAAGGCAUGAGCCCAAGGAGAUGUGCGGGAAGAUAUUCAUUGAAGGCCAAGAAGUCCAAAACUUGAUAAUAUUCAAUAGUAGAAGGACUUUAAUAAAAUCAGUUACGUUGAUAUGAUUUAAAUAUUAUUCAGUAGUUAAAUGAUGGAUGUCUGUCUAUCUCAACACAGCUCUGUCUCCUCUAGGUGCCCAGUAGAGGGGGAGAAAAAGAAAGAUUCAGACUAAUACUUACAGGAAGAUGUCAUUAAAACUGUAAAACGGGACCAUGUGUUUUUAGGGAUAAGCGUUAAUAUAAAUGCGUAGUGAAAGGUCUGGAAUGUAUACUGUCAGUGGGAGUGAUGUUGCCCCCAGCAGGGCAAAAGUUGGAUCUUGGGAGAUGGAAAAAAUCGCUCCAGAGCCUAACCCUGCCUGAUGAAAUCCUGUUCCUUAGUAUUUAAUUUCUCAUGAGGGAGAAUUCAAAGUUAAUCAACAUUUUUUCCUUGAGAGUCACCAAUAGUUAAAAAAAAAAAAAAAGUCAAAAAACAUCGGUUUAGAAGGAUGUACAGGUCUCUCUAGUCACACUACCUGGGUUCAAAUUCUGGCUCUAACAUUUACUAACUGAGCCUGUGGGGGAGGGUGGGAGAAGAUAUUCCUUCUCUCAGUGCCUCAAUUCCCUCAUCUGCCAAAUGAGCAUCAUCAUAAUAAAACCAACUUCAUAAGGUGGUUUUAAGGUUGAAAUCGGAUCAUGUGUGUAAAAAACUUAGUAUCUGACAUAUUGCUCAAGACAUUGCUGUGUUGCCCAGCAAGCACAGUGGCAGGCCUGGGGAUGCAAGAAUCCGUAAAAUAAAGAAGGUUUUUACCCUGUCAGAGUUUAGAAGUGUGGUGGGAAAUACCAGAAUAAGGAAACAAAAAAUUACAAUACUGGGUGACAAAUGCUAUGGUAUAGAAAGUACAGGUGUCCAGGGUUUAAGUGGAACGCUGGAAAAGAGGAUCAGAGAAGGCUUCUCAAAGGAAGACUGCCAGGUUGGGAAGUUAGGAAUGAGUACGAAUUAUACCAGUAAGGGGGAAAACAUAGCCUGUGUAGGUUUCAGGUCUCCCAAGGUGAGCGAGUACACAGCAUUUGGAUGUUAGUUGAGGGGUAGCUGGAGUAGAGUGGGGUGUGAGUUUGUCAACAGUGAUGUCUAGAGCCAGCUCUCCCAGCUCACAAGAUCUUAUUGUUCAACUUUCUCGUGAGCCCACUGACUACAUGCUUGUAGCUUGAAAUCAGCCAGCGUGGAGUAUUUACACCACGGAAAUUGGCAAACACAGGCCCUCAUUCCUAAGAGCCCAUUGUUAAAUAUUUAUCAGCCUCCUUCUGGCUGUAGAGGAGGUCGGUGAAUGGGUUACAAGGUUGGAGAUGAUUUUGCAGGGCCUCGUGGGCCACGUUAAAAGUAUUUAACAUUACCCUCAAAGAAGCCUGCAUAGCUCUUGAGUCUCAGACCUGGGUUCAAACCUUGACGUUUGACAGUUUUGUUGAACUGAUUCAUGAAUGAAUCUUGAUCAAGGAAGUGAAUGCCCUCUUUUUUUUUUCUUUUUCUUUUUUUUUCCUCAUCAGAUGAUGGGAACAACAGUAGUCUCUGAUGUUAGAAGAACUCAAGCCCUCUCAGAAGGAGUCAGCUAUAAGCUGGGCUGUGUGUGUGUGUGGGGGGGGGUCACAGAGAGAGGCAGCUUACUUUUCUGGGAGAUGUGGAUCAUUGGGUCACCUGGUUCCCAGGAUCCUCUUGUCAAUAAGGAGCCUCCUGAUUAUAUGUCCACGCUUCACAUGUGAUUUGUGCAGUUAGAUUUUAAUCCACGGCUGAUUUGCUCUUGCCCCCAAGCCUGUACUCAUGUAUUCUCUCCUAUUAUCAAGGGUCCCCCCCCCCCCGCCCCGUUCAGAGAAGGUAAAAGUAAUUCAAAUACAGCAUCUCCUUAGGCAAAGCAUAAUAAGCAGCUCGCUCAAUCAGUUUAGCCUGGUAUUGUCUGGCACAUCAACUUGCAUUCUUUUAGGGUGAAUUCAGGGACGUGGGCAAAGAUAAGCCCACAUUCAAGUGUGAAAGGCCUGACAAUCCUUUCCUAAGGCAAAAACAACAAUUAAAAAAAAAAAAAA
rnacentral:lncRNA from 1 species